rnacentral:rRNA from 1 species
UGGGGAAUAUUGCACAAUGGAGGAAACUCUGAUGCAGCGACGCCGCGUGAGUGAUGAAGGUCUUCGGAUCGUAAAACUCUGUCCUUUGGGAAGAUAAUGACAGUACCAUUGGAGGAAGCCCCGGCUAACUACGUGCCAGCAGCCGCGGUAAUACGUAGGGGGCGAGCGUUGUCCGGAAUUAUUGGGCGUAAAGGGUACGUAGGCGGUUUAGAAAGUCAGAUGUUAAAGCGUGAGGCUCAACCUCAUAAAGCAUUUGAAACUUCUAGACUUGAGUAGUGGAGAGGAAAGUGGAAUUCCUAGUGUAGCGGUGAAAUGCGUAGAUAUUAGGAAGAAUACCAGUGGCGAAGGCGACUUUCUGGACACAAACUGACGCUGAGGUACGAAAGCGUGGGGAGCAAACAGG